GCAAACUUGGUCAUUUAGAGGAAGUAAAAGUCGUAACAAGGUCUCCGUAGGUGAACCUGCGGAGGGAUCAUUACAGGCGCUGCGCCCUCGGGCGCGCCCCACACCCACUGCCAUCCUACGAUUGUUGCCUCGGCGGGCCGCCGUGCCCGCCGGGGGCCCUAGACCAGCGAGCCUAGAGUUGUCCGAGACCCACUAAAUCGUCAAAACUUUCAACAACGGAUCUCUUGGUUCCGGCAUCGAUGAAGAACGCAGC
rnacentral:misc_RNA from 1 species